CCGGCGCGGCGGCGGCCGGCAGCGGCGACCCUCUGGAGGACUUCUGCAAGGACAACCCCGAGACCGACGAGUGCAAGGUGUACGAAGCAUGAGGCCAGGGUUCUUUCCACGACGAAACGUACAGCACGGGCGCGAGGGUUCUUUCCAUAGAGAAUAAUAUACAGAUUAUUCGACGAAAGAGACGUAUGUUAUAUAUAUAUAUGAGUUGUAUGCAGUCACCGAACUGGCGGUACAGGCUUCCGCUUUCCAUUUCCU
rnacentral:lncRNA from 1 species